ensembl:snRNA U6 U6 spliceosomal RNA
UUAGCCCAUAUAGAUGCUAAAAAUAGUAUAACUGGAACUACAGAGAAAUUAACAUGGCACCUGUAUAAGAACGACAUGCACACUUGUGAUGCAUUCUGUUUCUCC